rnacentral:rRNA from 1 species
UCCUACGGGGGGCUGCAGUGGGGAAUAUUGGACAAUGGGCGCAAGCCUGAUCCAGCCAUGCCGCGUGAGUGAUGAAGGCCCUAGGGUUGUAAAGCUCUUUUAACGGGGAAGAUAAUGACGGUACCCGUAGAAUAAGCCCCGGCUAACUUCGUGCCAGCAGCCGCGGUAAUACGAAGGGGGCUAGCGUUGCUCGGAAUCACUGGGCGUAAAGCGCACGUAGGCGGACUCUUAAGUCGGUGGUGAAAUCCUGGAGCUCAACUCCAGAACUGCCUUCGAUACUGGGAGUCUCGAGUUCGGGAGAGGUGAGUGGAACUGCGAGUGUAGAGGUGAAAUUCGUAGAUAUUCGCAAGAACACCAGUGGCGAAGGCGGCUCACUGGCCCGAUACUGACGCUGAGGUGCGAAAGCGUGGGGAGCAAACAGGAUUAGAUACCCCGGUAGUCC